rnacentral:rRNA from 1 species
AGAGUUUGAUCCUGGCUCAGAACGAACGCUGGCGGCAGGCCUAACACAUGCAAGUCGAACGGGCCCUUUCGGGGGUCAGUGGCAGACGGGUGAGUAACACGUGGGAACGUGCCCAUCGGUUCGGAAUAACCCAGGGAAACUUGGGCUAAGACCGGAUACGUGCGAGAGCAGAAAGAUUUAUCGCCGAUGGAUCGGCCCGCGUCUGAUUAGCUAGUUGGUGAGGUAAUGGCUCACCAAGGCGACGAUCAGUAGCUGGUCUGAGAGGAUGAUCAGCCACACUGGGACUGAGACACGGCCCAGACUCCUACGGGAGGCAGCAGUGGGGAAUAUUGGACAAUGGGCGCAAGCCUGAUCCAGCCAUGCCGCGUGAGUGAUGAAGGCCCUAGGGUUGUAAAGCUCUUUCGCACGCGACGAUAAUGACGGUAGCGUGAGAAGAAGCCCCGGCUAACUUCGUGCCAGCAGCCGCGGUAAUACGAAGGGGGCUAGCGUUGUUCGGAAUCACUGGGCGUAAAGGGCGCGUAGGCGGCCGUUCAAGUCGGGGGUGAAAGCCUGUGGCUCAACCACAGAAUUGCCUUCGAUACUGGACGGCUCGAGACCGGAAGAGGUGAGUGGAACUGCGAGUGUAGAGGUGAAAUUCGUAGAUAUUCGCAAGAACACCAGUGGCGAAGGCGGCUCACUGGUCCGGUUCUGACGCUGAGGCGCGAAAGCGUGGGGAGCAAGCAGGAUUAGAUACCCUAGUAGUCC